AUUUGAAUUGAGCACCUUGCGGUGCCCAUAAUGUUCCAUGGCAGUUGGGAAGGUGUGCCAACGGUCCAGGACCAAGAUGGUGAGGCACCACAGGCUUGGAGGUGUUGCGACAGGCCUCAACUGCCGCUCACCAUGGAAAGAGGUAAGCAGCCGUUACACUAGGGAGUUCUCCUGAGCAAAUCCUACUGAGUAGCAAAUCCUAUUGAGAUUAGUUCUCUUGCAUAACUCCCAUUCAUUUCAACAGGAGGCCUGGAUGGUGGAUUCUCUCAUAGUGAUCAGCCAUGUCUUGAACAUGAGCAAAUUAGAGAUAAUAAUUUGGGAGUUUCAGGGCCAGAAUCAACUGAAUACUUGUGCUAGUGGGGGCCAGCACAAUGAGUCCUGCUAGUGCAAUGUGGCUUUUCCUCAUCUCUUCUCCCCAUGUGCCCCAAAUCAGCUCUGUGGGGUUGGGAGAACAUGCAAAACGUCCCAGGUCGCACGUAGAGAGAACCCAUCUGAAACCGUGAAGAGCCAUUGCUAGUCAGUAUAGUCUAUAUGGAGCUAGAUGGUCUGAUUCAGUAUAAGGGAGCUUCCUAUGUUCCUGUGUAUAGGAGCAUAAUUUCCUGCUGGGUUCAUGGGACUUGUACCUUUCUAUAACAUGUAGCAGCUCAGUGCAUUGAAUUAGGAUGCACAUCCCAGGCCUCCCAGCAAAUCCCAUGCCUCUCAGCAAAAAAAGGAUGCUCCUCAGUAUAUAUAGGAAUAUUUAGCCAGUUAAGGAAUUUUCUUCACAGGAAAGAAGCUCAGAAUGAUUUAGCUCUUUUCAAGUAUUCUGCAGUAUGCUCAGAAAACCCAAACACAUUCUGAGACAAGCUUGAAAUAAUUUGCCCACCAUUAGAGCAAAUACAUCUCUCCUUACUGCCAAAGAAAGUGUAUUGGAACAGCCAUGCUACCACACUGACUAUGUCUCAUGAUGGCACCUGCCCUAGAGAGAGGGAAAUGGACCACUGAGCAUAUUUACGAGGAGGAAAGCCCUUCCUGAUCUGGUGGUCCACAAGCAAGGCUCAGGAGUUCAAAUCAGAAAAGAGAUUUCAUAAAUGAUUCAGGUUCUCUGUCUUGAAAGCCACCGUUCUUCCACUUUGACACCUGCCAACCUAUUAGAAGAGUAUUCUUUCACCUUGGAUAAUGCCAACAAAUUCAACUUGGAUUUUAUCAUCAGCGUCAAAAAAUUAGUAGCUCUUUUCUGAAUGAUCAAACUCUGAAUAUCAAUGGCAUAUCAAUGACUAUCUAGUUAACUGUUUCCACCAAAAGAGAUAACCUCAAAGGAGGUGAGUUACAGUUUUCAAAUUAAGCAAACAGUUCCCAUUUCACAAAUGAGGGUGGAAAGCUGUAUUUGCUUCAGCUCCAGCACUAAUCUUUGCUUUCAUGUGCCUGUAAUUGCCACUGAGCUGGUUAAAUGCUGUUUCCAUGAAGAGCAUCAGUGAAGCCAGUGGUUCUCAUCAUUAGGCAAUUUUUGCUAAUUGUAGGUUUGUGGCUUCAGUUUGCUCCGUGUGCAUAGCUAGCCUCUUCCUCCAAAGGAAAAAGUCUUGUAAAAUAAAGAGAAGGUACCUAAAGGGAUGCACACAUCUAUCUAUUUCCCAGGCAGCCACCAUGCACAACACCUGCAUUGCUUCGAAUUGUUCUCUUGUACUUGUUGUUUUAAUCUGGUUGCAAUAUGCUGUGCCACUCUAAUCAGACUCUCACAUUUUUCACAAAAUGUCAUGUGUGUUUAUUAUUAGAUUAGGCUUAAGAAGGUUUAAUUUUAGAUCUUGUGAUUUAAGUGGUGCAGUGAAGAUUAAAUGCUAGGCAUAAUUAAAGAUGCUGAUGUAGAUGGAGUGAAUUAUAAACCUCAUUAAGUGCAAUGUCCUAGACAAGUUCAGGAGAUAAGCUACAAAGGAACCAACUCCCUCCCUUGAUCCUAAAGUUAUUAGAAAGUAGAUUCAACACACCGAGAGAAAGACGCACAUAAAUUGAAACGAAAUUGAUCAUUUAUAAUUUUUAUUGAAUGGGAGCCAGUUUCUUGUGUAAUUGAUUCUCUUGCUAUUCGCAGACUACAACAUUUGCUAUUUAAGUGAAAUAUUUUCUCCCAGACACAGAAGACUAUGGUUGCAGAAAUUCAGCACAAUCCAUUGCCCAGAUCAGCAGCAGUAUUACAGUACAGGGAAGAAGACUUUGAAGAACUUUGGCCCCUCACUUCAGGAAACUGGGACUCAAGUAUUCCGCCCAGGCUUUUUUAUUGGUAUCAGGGGGUGGGAGUGAAGAUGGACCCCAAAGAAUGUAACAAUCUCCAGACCUUGGCUAAUAGGUGUAAUGAGGGUUUGGCUUACCACUUAUGAUGAGGAUUGUUGUUUGCCUGCUAUAAAAAUGCUUUGCUUCCACUUCAAAGGCAGGGUACCUUUUCAAAGUUGAAGACAAUGUCCCAAUGGAACCAACAGUAGUUCAUGACAUAGCAUUCCCAAGGGCACGGGUGUAUGGAAGAUGGCUGCCCCCAUUUCCCAGCCUCCUCAUCUUCUGAAUCCAUAUAGAAAUCUAUACCAUAUAAAAUCUAUACCAUAUAAAAUCUAUGCCAUCUACACAAGUUCACAACAUUGAAUGAGCAGGUCUGGGUGGGCAUAGUUCUCUAAUAAUAUGUGGGCAAAGGAAUAAAUGCAUAGAUUUGAUUCUUGACAUGAAUUAGAAUCAACUUGAUUGCAAUAAGCUCCUCAAAUGAGCUCUGAUCCUAACAUUAUAUUAAGCAUGUGAGCACAGGAAACAAUAUUCCUUCCUCCCCUCCCCUCCCCUCCGACAAAUUUGUGAAAACAGGUUGGCUCUGAAUUCAUUUAUAUUGCAUAUGAGCUUUUGCUGCUAUAAACCUCAUGGAAAUGUGCAUUUAUCUCCCUUUUGCAAUCAGGUAAUGUCAAAGUCAAUAAGAAGCAGUAGCUUGAUUGGGGGGAGGAAUCUGAAAGAACCGCUACACUUGGAAAUUGUACAUGGCAAUGACUUGAUUCAUAUCCAAGUGAUGCAACUGUCAGAUUCUUAUAUCCACUAUCAAGAUGUCAGAUUAAUGUUCAUCUGGUGGCCUGAAACCAUACUGGGGUUGGGAGUAGGCUGUAAUCCUUUCUGAUGAACCAUCUCGUAACUGCUGGUUGCUGAGAUUCUUGCAAAGAGGGCUGAAUGAAGUAGGUGGGCCUUGAUCUGGUUGAGUAAGGUGUACCUGGUGUGCUUAAGCAGUAGGGCAUAACUAAUCAAGAUCACUUAACACAAAUUAGUUAUGCCUUAUGCGCUCUCCCCAAAAAGUGCACUGUGAAGUUUGCCUGUCACUGCCUUGUAGGACAAAAUCCACAUCCCAGGAUUGCAUCCUGACUUUCUGUAGUACAAAUGGAAACCACUGUGCAGCCCACACCACGACAGAAGAAACGUCUGUGCAAUGUUAUUGGGUACAAGAGCAAACGCUUCAUUUACACAGGAAAGGGGUGUGGAAUUAAAAACAUGCAAUCCAACCAAGCUUUUACUAACUUGAUUAUGCAGAUUUUGGCAGAUGGAUGCUAAGGGCCUUUCAAACAAACACAGAAGAUGUUUUCUAAUGAUUGGCAGAUAGAUAUCUCGAUGUGGGUAUCUAACUGGAAAAGCUCUUUGUGGCUACGCAAACAGAUUGGGUUUUCUUAUCUUUGCUGCCACAUUAGAUUACUAUUGGAGAAGCCUGAAAUUGGGACAUUUUCUGGAAGGAGACCCAGCGAUCCCACUGCAUGCAUUGAGUUCACCAAGUCAUCCUUCAUAUCCUUUCUUCAAUUUAGGGGUGAAUUUAAACCAAGUACUUGCUGAUUAUUAUUUUUCACAUUUCCAGCAGAGUAGAAAAGUCCUGCUAAUAUUUUUGGUGAUUGCUUUUCAAAUGCAUGAAAGCAUUUGGCUAUCCAGCUGUUGUAGUUUUGGGGUGGGAAAGUAUUUCCCUUGUACUGAGUUGGCUUUGCCCACAAUGAUGUCAAUCAGAAGACCAAGCCAAAUCUGACUGGAUCUGUAGCAUCUUGGCAUCAUCCCAGCGAUCUUCAAUUGGAGAUCACUUGUGCGACUAACCAGCAAUUAGAAGGAGGGAAAUGCUAUCAAAGCAACAGCAUAUAAUUGAAACAAUGGGAGCAAAGGGUUAAAAAGUGAACAUUCUCAGAAGUAGGAAUUUGGGGGUGAGAGGAUAUUUCUUUUUCCUGCCCAUCCCCACAUAAAGGACAUUUUUUCAACCAGGAAAUCAAAAUGAGAGAACACUAGGACAAGCUCUACUUUUAAUGAAAGAAAUCAAAUAAUGUUCAAAAGCAGGAGUGGUUAGCCUGUGGGCCCCCAGAGGCUGUUGGACUCCAACUCCCAUCAUCUCCAGCCCAGCAUCUUGAGGUUCACAGGUUAGCCACACCUGUUCACGAGUGUCAAAAGCUGAUGUGGAGAAUGUACUAAAACUAUUGUUUGAAUUUGAAUGGGGGGAACCAGCUUUUAAUUUGAAUGUGCAUUUCUGACUUUUGGGAAUUAAUUCCCACUGGCAGCAAUAAAUAAAUGUUUCAUUUAUUUUUGAUGUUUCACCCUUAAUAUUGCUUAUUAUUAUUAUUAUUGUGCAAAAUGUAAAUUUACUGCAUUUGAGCAAAGCAGUUCUUCAGUCGUGUGGUUUGUGCUGAGAUACGUCCCUCUGGAAUUUAGCCUUUAGUCUCUGGGUUUUUCUGGCUUGCAGACUGCUUAUCAUCACCUUGGUAACCCUUAAUGAAACAGAAAUCUCUCCAGUUGUUACCACUCUGCUGUUUGUUGUAGCAUAAAUCAUAGUGAAUUAGUGUGGUGCAUAC